rnacentral:rRNA from 1 species
CCUACGGGUGGCAGCAGUGAGGAAUAUUGGUCAAUGGGCGCGAGCCUGAACCAGCCAAGUAGCGUGAAUGAUGACUGCCCUACGGGUGGUAAACUUCUUUUAUAAAGUAGUAAGUUGAGACACGUGUGCCUUUUUGUAUGUACUUUAUGAAUAGGGAUCGGCUAACUCCGUGCCAGCCGCCGCGGUAAUACGGAGGAUCCGAGCGUUAUCCGGAUUGAUUGGGUUUAAAGGGAGCGUAGAUGGGUUGUUAAGUCAGUUGUGAAAGUUUGCGGCUCAACCGUAAAAUUGCAAUUGAUACUGGUAGGCUUGAGGACAGUUGAGGUAGGCGGAAUUCGUGGUGUAGUGGUGAAAUGCUUAGAGAUGACGAAGAACCCCGAUUGCGAAGGCAGCUUACUAAACUGCGACUGACAUUGAUGCGCGAAAGCGUGGGUAGCAAACAGGAUUAGAUACCCUUGUAGUC